GCCGUCUUAGCAUAGUGGUUAUUGCACUUGGCUUGUAACCAAGGGGUCCCCAGUUCGACUCUGGGAGUCGGCA